AGUGAACGCUGGCGGUAGGCCUAACACAUGCAAGUCGAACGGCAGCACAGUAAGAGCUUGCUCUUACGGGUGGCGAGUGGCGGACGGGUGAGGAAUACAUCGUAAUCUACUUUUUCGUGGGGGAUAACGUAGGGAAACUUACGCUAAUACCGCAUACGACCUACGGUUGAAAGCAGGGGAUCUUCUGACCUUGCGCGAUUGAAUGAGCCGAUGUCGGAUUAGCUAGUUGGCGGGGUAAAGGCCCACCAAGUCGACGAUCCGUAGCUGGUCUGAGAGGAUGAUCGGCCACACUGGAACUGAGACACGGUCAAGACUCCUACGGGAGGCAGCAGUGGGGAAUAUUGGACAAUGGGCGCAAGCAUGAUACAGCGAUACCGCGUGGGUGAAGAAGGCCUUCGGGUUGUAAAGCCCUUCUGUUGGGAAAGAAAAGCAGCAGGUUAAUACGAAGCUGUUCUGACGGUACCCAAAGAAUAAGCACCGGCUAACUUCGUG
rnacentral:rRNA from 1 species